rnacentral:lncRNA from 1 species
ACAGAGGUGAUCACAUCAUUACCAAAGAAAGUCACAUAUACAUAUGUGAGAGGAGACGUGUCCUUUUGUUAUGCUUCUAGAAGGCAGACCAGAGAUAUUUGGUCAGUAGUACCAGUAACCUUCCAUUUAGCUAUGUAUUGCUGUGUGACACAUUACCUCAAAACUUAGUGGUUUCAACCAACAGUUAUUUAUUUUCUUACUCAGGGAUCUGGGAGCAGAUUAGCUGUGAGUCUAUCUGGCCACAGUUCAGUCCUCCUCAGGGGUAGCCAGGCCUCUCCGUCUAUCCUUAUCAGUCUCCAACUGGGAGGAAGGUGAGAAGAGAGGAGUGCAAACAUUUCCAGAGUCUCCUGGUGAAGAAGGACAAAGAGAGAGAAAGAAGGGAAGUACUUAAGUCCUUGAAGCUGCCCAACCCCUCCUCUGGCUUAUGCCAGCUCUGCUCUGCCACAGGUCCCUGUGUGUUUAUUCACCGUGUUCCUGGUUGGCUGGAUUUGAAUUUAAAUCGUUGACAGGAAAUAAUGCCUUCCAGCCUGAUAUCCCAAGUUCAUCCAGAGCCUGAGAGUGGAAACUCGGACUCUACUCUACUUUCCAGAGAUGAGCGAGGACUGGAGAACCUCCUGGCCCACUGAAAUGCAUUUGAUCUAUUGUUGCUAACCUCAGACAAGGUGGCCACUAGCCCUCACCAUGAUUACAUGACAGUGCCACACUGCUGCACCAGCUGUGGGAACAUCUUUCACUUCGGCUCAAAGCAGACUGGCCGAGGAGUGGUCUUGUAGUCUCUGCU